GAUGAAGAACGUAGCGAAAUGCGAUAAGUAAUGUGAAUUGCAGAAUUCAGUGAAUCAUCGAAUCUUUGAACGCACCUUGCGCUCUUUGGUAUUCCGAAGAGCAUGCCUGUUUGAGUGUCAUGAAAAUAUCAACCUUGACUUGGGUUUUGUGCUCUAGUCUCGGCUUGGAAUUGGGUGCUUGCCGCUUUUACGAGCGGCUCACCUUAAAUGUAUUAGCUGGAUCUGUCUUUGAGACUUGGUUUGACUUGGCGUAAUAAGUAUUUCGCUAAGGACAUUCUUCGGAGUGGCCUCGUUUCUAGGACGCUUGUCCGCUUUCCACUACAAGUUCCACCUCGUGGACAUGACUUUUUAUUAUCUGGCCUCAAAUCAGGUAGGACUACCCGCUGAACUUAAGCAUAUCAAUAAGCGGAGGA
rnacentral:misc_RNA from 1 species